GGCUAGCCGUAAACUUUUAUUUACGCCCAAUCGCCAGGGAACUACGAGCUAAGCUUAAAACCCAAAGGACUUGACGGUACCCCAUAUCCCCCUAGAGGAGCCUGUCCUGUAAUCGAUAAUCCACGUUAAACCUCACCAUUUUUAGUUAAUCAGCCUGUAUACCUCCGUCGUCAGCUUACCACGUGAGCGCCAAUUAGUGAGCUUAAUGUUUUUCACCAAUACGUCAGGUCAAGGUGCAGCAAAUAAAGUGGGAAGAGAUGGGCUACACUCUCUAUUUUAGAAAAAACGAAAAACUACCUAUGAAACCUAGUUAGAAGGCGGAUUUAGCAGUAAAAAGGAAUCAGCAUGUCCAUUUUAAUCCGGCACUGGGGUGUGUACACACCGCCCGUCA
rnacentral:rRNA from 1 species